GGGUUGUGAGGUUAAGCGACUAAGCGUACACGGUGGAUGCCCUGGCAGUCAGAGGCGAUGAAGGACGUGCUAAUCUGCGAAAAGCGUCGGUAAGGUGAUAUGAACCGUUACAGCCGGCGAUGUCCGAAUGGGGAAACCCAGUGCAAUUCGUUGCACUAUCGUUAACUGAAUACAUAGGUUAACGAGGCGAACCGGGGGAACUGAAACAUCUAAGUACCCCGAGGAAAAGAAAUCAACCGAGAUUCCCCCAGUAGCGGCGAGCGAACGGGGAGCAGCCCAGAGUCUGAAUCAGCUUGUGUGUUAGUGGAACGGUCUGGAAAGUCCGACGGUACAGGGUGAUAGUCCCGUACACCAAAAUGCACAGGUUGUGAACUCGAAGAGUAGGGCGGGACACGUGGUAUCCUGUCUGAAUAUGGGGGGACCAUCCUCCAAGGCUAAAUACUCCUGACUGACCGAUAGUGAACCAGUACCGUGAGGGAAAGGCGAAAAGAACCCCGGCGAGGGGAGUGAAAAAGAACCUGAAACCGUGUACGUACAAGCAGUGGGAGCACCUUCGGGUGUGACUGCGUACCUUUUGUAUAAUGGGUCAGCGACUUAUAUUCUGUAGCAAGGUUAACCGUAUAGGGGAGCCGCAGGGAAACCGAGUCUUAACUGGGCGUUAAGUUGCAGGGUAUAGACCCGAAACCCGGUGAUCUAGCCAUGGGCAGGUUGAAGGUUGGGUAACACUAACUGGAGGACCGAACCGACUAAUGUUGAAAAAUUAGCGGAUGACUUGUGGCUGGGGGUGAAAGGCCAAUCAAACCGGGAGAUAGCUGGUUCUCCCCGAAAGCUAUUUAGGUAGCGCCUCGUGAAUUCAUCUUCGGGGGUAGAGCACUGUUUCGGCUAGGGGGUCAUCCCGACUUACCAACCCGAUGCAAACUACGAAUACCGAAGAAUGUUAUCACGGGAGACACACGGCGGGUGCUAACGUCCGUCGUGAAGAGGGAAACAACCCAGACCGCCAGCUAAGGUCCCAAAGUCAUGGUUAAGUGGGAAACGAUGUGGGAAGGCACAGACAGCCAGGAUGUUGGCUUAGAAGCAGCCAUCAUUUAAAGAAAGCGUAAUAGCUCACUGGUCGAGUCGGCCUGCGCGGAAGAUGUAACGGGGCUAAACCAUGCACCGAAGCUGCGGCAGCGACACUAUGUGUUGUUGGGUAGGGGAGCGUUCUGUAAGCCUGCGAAGGUGUGCUGUGAGGCAUGCUGGAGGUAUCAGAAGUGCGAAUGCUGACAUAAGUAACGAUAAAGCGGGUGAAAAGCCCGCUCGCCGGAAGACCAAGGGUUCCUGUCCAACGUUAAUCGGGGCAGGGUGAGUCGACCCCUAAGGCGAGGCCGAAAGGCGUAGUCGAUGGGAAACAGGUUAAUAUUCCUGUACUUGGUGUUACUGCGAAGGGGGGACGGAGAAGGCUAUGUUAGCCGGGCGACGGUUGUCCCGGUUUAAGCAUGUAGGCUGGUUGUCCAGGCAAAUCCGGAUAAUCAAGGCUGAGGUGUGAUGACGAGGCACUACGGUGCUGAAGUAACAAAUGCCCUGCUUCCAGGAAAAGCCUCUAAGCAUCAGGUAACAUCAAAUCGUACCCCAAACCGACACAGGUGGUCAGGUAGAGAAUACCAAGGCGCUUGAGAGAACUCGGGUGAAGGAACUAGGCAAAAUGGUGCCGUAACUUCGGGAGAAGGCACGCUGGUGUGUAGGUGAAGUCCCUGCGGAUGGAGCUGAGACCAGUCGAAGAUACCAGCUGGCUGCAACUGUUUAUUAAAAACACAGCACUGUGCAAACACGAAAGUGGACGUAUACGGUGUGACGCCUGCCCGGUGCCGGAAGGUUAAUUGAUGGGGUUAUCCGUAAGGAGAAGCUCUUGAUCGAAGCCCCGGUAAACGGCGGCCGUAACUAUAACGGUCCUAAGGUAGCGAAAUUCCUUGUCGGGUAAGUUCCGACCUGCACGAAUGGCGUAAUGAUGGCCAGGCUGUCUCCACCCGAGACUCAGUGAAAUUGAACUCGCUGUGAAGAUGCAGUGUACCCGCGGCAAGACGGAAAGACCCCGUGAACCUUUACUAUAGCUUGACACUGAACAUUGAGCCUUGAUGUGUAGGAUAGGUGGGAGGCUUUGAAGCGUGGACGCCAGUCUGCGUGGAGCCAACCUUGAAAUACCACCCUUUAAUGUUUGAUGUUCUAACGUUGGCCCCUGACCGGGGUUGCGGACAGUGUCUGGUGGGUAGUUUGACUGGGGCGGUCUCCUCCCAAAGCGUAACGGAGGAGCACGAAGGUUAGCUAAUCCUGGUCGGACAUCAGGAGGUUAGUGCAAUGGCAUAAGCUAGCUUGACUGCGAGCGUGACGGCGCGAGCAGGUGCGAAAGCAGGUCAUAGUGAUCCGGUGGUUCUGAAUGGAAGGGCCAUCGCUCAACGGAUAAAAGGUACUCCGGGGAUAACAGGCUGAUACCGCCCAAGAGUUCAUAUCGACGGCGGUGUUUGGCACCUCGAUGUCGGCUCAUCACAUCCUGGGGCUGAAGUAGGUCCCAAGGGUAUGGCUGUUCGCCAUUUAAAGUGGUACGCGAGCUGGGUUUAGAACGUCGUGAGACAGUUCGGUCCCUAUCUGCCGUGGGCGCUGGAGAAUUGAGGGGGGCUGCUCCUAGUACGAGAGGACCGGAGUGGACGCAUCACUGGUGUUCGGGUUGUCAUGCCAAUGGCACUGCCCGGUAGCUAAAUGCGGAAGAGAUAAGUGCUGAAAGCAUCUAAGCACGAAACUUGCCCCGAGAUGAGUUCUCCCUGAGACUUUAAGUCUCCUGAAGGAACGUUAAAGACGAUGACGUUGAUAGGCCGGGUGUGUAAGCGCAGCGAUGCGUUGAGCUAACCGGUACUAAUGAACCGUGAGGCUUAACCUUACAACGCCGAAG
rnacentral:rRNA from 1 species